rnacentral:rRNA from 1 species
GAUGAACGCUAGCGGCAGGCUUAAUACAUGCAAGUCGAGGGGCAGCAUGAUUGUAGCAAUACAAUUGAUGGCGACCGGCAAACGGGUGCGGAACACGUACACAACCUCCCAAUAAGUGGGGAAUAGCCCAGAGAAAUUUGGAUUAAUACCCCGUAACAUAACGAUGUGGCAUCACAUUGUUAUUAUAGAUUUUUCGCUUAUUGAUGGGUGUGCGGCUGAUUAGAUAGUUGGCGGGGUAACGGCCCACCAAGUCUACGAUCAGUAGCUGAUGUGAGAGCAUGAUCAGCCACACGGGCACUGAGACACGGGCCCGACUCCUACGGGAGGCAGCAGUAAGGAAUAUUGGACAAUGGACGCAAGUCUGAUCCAGCCAUGCCGCGUGAAGGAUUAAGGUCCUCUGGAUUGUAAACUUCUUUUAUAAGGGACGAAAAAAGGCUUUUCUAAGUCGUCUGACGGUACCUUAUGAAUAAGCACCGGCUAACUCCGUGCCAGCCGCCGCCGUAA